rnacentral:rRNA from 1 species
AGUGAACGCUGGCGGUAGGCCUAACACAUGCAAGUCGAACGGCAGCACAGUAAGAGCUUGCUCUUACGGGUGGCGAGUGGCGGACGGGUGAGGAAUACAUCGGAAUCUACUUUUUCGUGGGGGAUAACGUAGGGAAACUUACGCUAAUACCGCAUACGACCUACGGGUGAAAGCAGGGGAUCUUCGGACCUUGCGCGAUUGAAUGAGCCGAUGUCGGAUUAGCUAGUUGGCGGGGUAAAGGCCCACCAAGGCGACGAUCCGUAGCUGGUCUGAGAGGAUGAUCAGCCACACUGGAACUGAGAAACGGUCCAGACUCCUACGGGAGGCAGCAGUGGGGAAUAUUGGACAAUGGGCGCAAGCAUGAUCCAGCCAUACCGCGUGGGUGAAGAAGGCCUUCGGGUUGUAAAGCCCUUUUGUUGGGAAAGAAAAGCAGCAGGUUAAUACCCCGCUGUUCUGACGGUACCCAAAGAAUAAGCACCGGCUAACUUCGUG